UUGCCUCUGAAAUCUCCAGCCCCUAUCUUGUUUACCUGUUACUGCCAUAUUGUUUUCUUUCAGCAGUACAUGAAAAAAUCUGACAACCAUUUGUCACCUGCAACUAAAUAUCCAGUUCAGAAUACCCUCUGCACUAUCAAUUGCUCCAUAUACAAACUUAUACAUCAUUUACUUUUGGGAGAAUGACAGCAGCAUGGAAAGGGCACUGAAUAAAAAAGCUACAGGUAAAAUUUUAUUUUAGGAUUUAACUCUUUCUUAGCCCUACAUUUGUCUUUUUUUGUUGUUGUUCAAGUGCCAGAGCUUGCAGUCAGAUAGAGUUCCAAAUCAGAAAUAAAGCUAAGCUAGCUUUAUUCUAUAUUGGGAGUAUGCUAGGCAGUGCUUUUUCCAUAUCUGCAGCAACUCCCGCGCUUUGAACUGUUCAAAAAUGUCUGUCUGCUUCUGCAAUUUAGAGAGAUCCUUCAUUUUUAGGUCAGCUUGCCUCACAAGCUGCACUGACAGACAUGCAGUAAGAUUUCCAGACUAGAAAGCAGAUGCUGUAACUUUUAUUUAAACACAGAAGUUUAAAAAGCAAGAAAAUCUUCCUUGCAGAUUUUGUUUUUAAACCCCCUGUUUUGGUAUAUAAUUCUUGUGCUUUACUAAGAAGCUCCUAGAGUCUGGCAGUACAGAUGCAACAACAGGCUUCUGCUGCAUAUUUCCCAUUGGAGAUUUUUAGAAUUAAAUACCUAUUUUCCCAUGUAAAAGGAUAGAAUAUCACAGCUAACAAGGAAACAUCCAACUCCACAAUCAAUUCAUAGUACUUUAAGGGGAGUUGCGCCCUUACCCAUGUUUGGAAAAUAUUCUGUGAUAUAAAUACUCACCUAUAUCAAAUAUAAAAAUAGAAAUACGAUCUUGCUUUUCCUUAUUAAUUGCUGCAGAAAAAUAGCAUUCUCUGGGCAGUCAGUAUUAACUUGUGGAUUUAUAUUAUGCAGCACAAUGGAUUUUUCUUUUUCUUUUUUUUUUUUUCUUUUUCUUUUUCUUUUUUUUUUUGUCUAAAGGUUAAGGGUUGUUAUUUGCCUGGGGGGAUUGCUGACAAAGCACAUGGCAGAGGUUCAAAACAUCGACAAAGAUCCUUCAGCCUUUGUCCCAACAACCCAUCUUUGGAGCUUGCACAAACACUUGCUGAGACCCGAUUGUUCAUUACAAUCAAUACAUGUACAAAAUCUGCUUCUAAAAACAAAGAAACUGCCUAGAAGAAUCAUUACCUGACUGGCCAAGACCUCACUGUGCAACAGGCCAACUAUAAAGUUCCUGAAGUCAUUUAUUCCUCUUCACAGUAGGGCAAAGCUUAAUGGAAAACUCUUCAUAGAUGAAAGCC
ensembl:lncRNA